rnacentral:rRNA from 1 species
UACGUAGGGUGCAAGCGUUGUCCGGAAUUGUUGGGCGUAAAGAGCUCGUAGGCGGUCUGUCGCGUCUGCUGUGAAAAUCCGGGGCUCAACCCCGGACUUGCGGUGGGUACGGGCAGACUAGAGUGUGGUAGGGGAGACUGGAAUUCCUGGUGUAGCGGUGAAAUGCGCAGAUAUCAGGAGGAACACCGAUGGCGAAGGCAGGUCUCUGGGCCACUACUGACGCUGAGGAGCGAAAGCGUGGGGAGCGAACAGG